CUUCCUCCUCGGAAGGGUUGCCUCGAGAGCUUUGCCUCUUCAGUUCCAGCUGUUCAAUUACCCCGGCCAUCGUAAAAACCUGGAGGUGCCACUGAUGAAAACAAACGCUGAUGUGGUGCAUGCCCCAGGAGGGCCGUGAGCGCGCUGGCAGCUGAAGUUACUUCGCUCACCGUAACGGCGGCGUGAUCUGAAAAGGAUUCUUCGAGAUGGAGCAGCCCUUUGGGACAGUUCCAUCUCAGUACGCCGGGAGUUGCCAAGUUGCUUUCAGCGACGGGCCAAUUGCUUCAAGUGAACGACAUUGCCCCAUCACGCCAUGAGCACGGCCAACAAUGGGCCAGAGGAGCGAGGAUCAUCAACCACCAUAGAUAUCUUAUGUUGGACAAAUCAGGACACAUUUACUGUGUAGGCGCGGAGUGCACAUCAGUGCGUGCGGAGGGAGAGAUGGUGCGGCUGAGGACGCGGAGUCUUCGGACACUGAGUGAAAUUGGCGUCCGCUUGCGUGCGGCGUAAUGAAUGACGUCAGCUUCGGUGGAUUAAUAAACCAGUUCUAGUGACAGGCACUUGGAAAGAUUGGGGAUGUAUGAUAUGGACCGGAGCUAAUUUAAGCCCUUGUGUGGAAGCAGUGGUUCUGCUGCGUUAUGAAAGUGCUGCCGUUUAGCCGAGGAGUCAGCCUAGGGGCACUGUCCCUCUGCAUCUCGAAGACAUGUCACUGUGACGGACAGAUAUGAAAAUAUCACUCGCUUUAAUGGCAUUUCAAGAAAGCAGUGAGCCCUAUUUGGUAGCAAGAAGACAUGCAAAGACAUAAAAUUGUAGGGUUUUUUCUCCUCUCUGCCACUGACUAACUGGACUUAAGGUUAAUUCCUUAAGGGUUUGUCACACAUUAGGAGACCCAAGCAGGGAGCAGACUGGCUUUAGCGUGUCAUUAGCAACCAGCGGGUCACUUUCAGACAGGAACAGCUCACACUGGUCCUCUACGUGAUGGUGGGCGAUCAGCAACAAUGUUCCUGUGCAGUCCCUCUCCGGGGGGCUCCUGCUAGCCUCUCUCAUACAAAACCAAUUGAUUUAACUCCCAGCGUCUGCCCAGGGCUUGAUUUUGUGAAGAUUUCAUUUUGAAUCCCCUUCUGGCUCGAGGUCGUAAGCCCUCAACGACUGUUUACAUUUUUAUUGUGUUAGGUUUAGAAAAUGGCGGAGUUCUGAUGUGGUUUGUGGUGAGAGCUACUUGAUACAUACUCAAGAAAUCAUUAAUCAUAAUUUAUAAAUCCACAAAUGGACAAAGUGCUGGAGCAAUUCAUGUUAUUGCAGCCCUCCUCUCCUAAACACACAAACGCACACAUGCACGCACACACACACACACACACUCAUAUAAAUGUCCCUGCAUUCAUUUACUAUCUAUUACAAGUAUUUAUUUUCCAUUUUUACAGGCAUUAUCUAAUGAUGGAGAAACUGUUUUCUUCACCCUGAAAUUGUGUAAUUUCUCUUGACACAGCUCAUGGAGCUAUUCUCGUUCAGUGCUUCUGCACAUUUCUCAGAACCUUCAUUAUCUCAGGUCUUCUCUUACCCAAUAGGACCUACAGCAAUGUGCACGAACCCUUUAUUUGUGUACUGUCCCCAUUACACUUAUGUAUUCAUGCACUGAUUUAUAUUAAAGAUUUAAAUUGAGUCAAACUAAUAUUUCAUAGCUGUAACUGUAAUAAUUGUGUUCUAGAUUAUUUAUGUGUGGUAGUUCUCAGAAUGGAUCUUUUUAAUUUGUUGUGAAAAAGCAUUUUUCCUUGAUAGUGCCUAAGAUUGUCUCUUUGCUCUAAAUAAAUAUACAGACGGGUGACAAAUUAAAUGAAAAACUAACAUAAAUUGUCUUAGUAAGGUGUUUGGCCACUACGAGCCACCAAAACAGCUUCAAUGCUUCUUAGGUUGUACAAAUCUCUGGAACUCUAUUGGAGGGAUGGAACAUCAUUCUUCCAAAAGAUAUUCCCUCGUUUGGUGUUUUGAUAAUGGUGGUGGAGAGCACUGUCUAACACGUUGUUCCAAAAUCUUGCAUAGGUGUUAAAUUAGGUUGAGAUCUGGUGACUGCGAAGGCCAUAGUUUAUGAUUCAUAUCAUUUUCAUACUCGUCAAACCACUCUCAUCAGGAUAUAAAUAUUCAUAGGAUAAAGGUGAUCACUCAGAAUAAUUAUGUAUUGAUUUGCAGUGACCCUUCCCUCUAAGGGGACAAGUGGACCCAAACCAUGCCAGGAAAAUGCCCCUACAGCAUGACAGAGCCACCGGACCCCCUCACUCUAGGGGUCAGGCAUUCAGGCUUACACUGUUCUCUUGGUGUAUGCCACACAUGCACUUGCCCACUUGUAGAGAAUAUGGUGAAGGAUGACUCGUCUGGCCAUAUCACUUUUUUCCCGCAUCUCUGUAGACCAGUGCCUAUGGUUUUUGCACCACUGGACUCUCAAAUGUCCAUUCAUCUUUGUAAUGAGUGGUCUAUGCACUGCAACCCCACUAUAGUAUCCCUCUCUAUGUAGAUUUCAAUGGACUGUUCACACAAUCGGAUCACGUCCUGCACUGGCAUUCUCAGUCACCUGAGUUGCUCUUCUGCUUUUCCUUAUGUAUUGCACUAAUACACAAUCAUCACGGUCAUUUCUGGCCGUAUUUAUUAAUGUCUUUCCCGUAGAUCCAAAUGCAGACGUCACUUUAGUCACUGUUCCUAUUGAAACACUAGCCAGCUGAGAAGUCUUUGUGACUGAAGCUCCUUCCGUCCGUGCCCCAAUAAUGAACUCUUUCAGAGUCACUUAGAUCUUUUCCUCUUGCCAUCUUGAUCCAAAAUCAAAUCGAGGUCAACUGGGCCUGCUCAGCAUUUUUAUACACGCCACAGAGCAUGAUAGGAUGUUAAUUGUUUGUUUCUUUCAUACAGUACACCUGUAUGAAAGCAUCUGCAUUUGUUAUGUUUCUCCACUCAUUUAUUCAGGUUUUUCCUUUAAUGUGUCACUCGUCUGUAUGUAUGUGCAGUAGAAUUUCUAAGAUAUUUUGUGCUAUUAAAAUUCAUUUAGACUCAG